GUGAUUGUCAGUCCACUCAAGUUAUUAAUCAACGUCUAAUAAACAUGACAUUUCCAUUCCAUUUAGUGAUAUUUGACUCAAUUUCAACACCAUGCUGGUGAUAAGAGCAACCUGGUACAGUUCUAGCAACAUACUUUUCAACAUAAAAUGAAGCUCCACUACGUGAAAUGGAAACAUUUCAAACAAUCAGACGACCAACGGACAUGGAAUGAUGUUGGAUCCACCUAAUCGUUCGUCCAUGUGGCACUACGGAAAUAAAUUCAAUCCCACCAUUUGCUGCAACACACACCGGAAGGAACUUGUCGGAAAAUUAGUUUUGGAGUAUUUAAUCAUCAGAAAUUAUUUGGCAACUAAAAAGUGGGUUAAAGAAUUCAGUCAACAAUCAAAGUCAAAAUCACUGCGUAAACAAUCUAAAGUGAUCUCUUAGUCUCUUUUUCUUUGUUUCAUUUUACCAUACUGCCGUUCUUAGUUUCUUACUGACUAAUGUACAGUUGAAGAAACAAUUCAAGCAAUAAAACGUGUUCAAAAU